rnacentral:rRNA from 1 species
UGGAGCAUGUGGUUUAAUUCGAAGCAACGCGAAGAACCUUUACCAGGUCUUGACAUCCCGAUGCUAUUUCUAGAGAUAGAAAGUUACUUCGGUACAUCGGUGACAGGUGGUGCAUUGGUUGUCGUCAGCUCGUGUCGUGAGAUGUUGGGUUAAGUCCCGCAACGAGCGCAACCCCUAUUGUUAGUUGCCAUCAUUCAGUUGGGCACUCUAGCGAGACUGCCGGUAAUAAACCGGAGGAAGGUGGGGAUGACGUCAAAUCAUCAUGCCCCUUAUGACCUGGGCUACACACGUGCUACAAUGGUUGGUACAACGAGUUGCGAGUCGGUGACGGCGAGCUAAUCUCUUAAAGCCAAUCUCAGUUCGGAUUGUAGGCUGCAACUCGCCUACAUGAAGUCGGAAUCGCUAGUAAUCGCGGAUCAGCACGCCCGCGGUCGAAUACGUUCCCGGGCCUU